CUCUCUCUCUCUCUGCAAGUUUACCCAUCUUCGUCCCCUCCGCCUCGCCACUGUGGUCUUCAUCGGGAGCUUCCAUAGCUGCGCCGCCUCGUCCUCCAGCACCCCCACGAGCGGCUUCCAACCCCUCACCAACAUCCUCCCUCGCCGUGGGCAAACGCGCGCCGCCUCGUCCUCCCCUGCGGCCAGAAGCCGCAGGUACCCGUCUUCUAGCCAAACCCGCAGGUGGAACCGCCUUUGAGGUUGACCUCAAAACCCUAAUCCAACCCCUUACCAACAUCCUCCCCCGUGGCCAGAAGCUCAUCUUCAAAGGUGCGUGCCACAAACCCUAGAUCGCUCAUCCUUGAUAUCUUCCCGACGGCGGUGGAUGCUCGCAGCUUGUUAGCUCGCAGCUUGUCACCCUGCACUCUACGCCCUUUGUUAGCUCGCAGCUUGUUUCACCCGUUGCCUCUCGGUCGCUAGUUCAUGUGGAUGCUUCAUUGUCUCUCAGUCAUCGCCGCAGCAGCCGUUGCCAUCCCUAUCGUAAUUUUUUGAUGUUGUUGGACGUGCUGAAGCUGGAUAGUAAUUCCUUUAUUUUUUCUGUAGUAGCUCUGCUCGUCCAUCAUAUUGAUAGUUUUCUUAGUUAAGUUGUCAAAUUGUAAACUGUUCUUAUAAUUGAAGAGUUUCUAACUGCCCCUUAUCUAGAACCAUAGAACUAUGUUGGUCUUGUGGUCACCUUGUGAGCUCUUCCAUUUAAAGGUUAUGUCAUGAAUACAUUAGACAAGCACUUUGUCAUUCUGAUUGCUAUGUCCAUUCUUCAUAUAUAAUAUCAUCCCCAAUGCUUGAUUCUGGUUGUGGUUUACUGAUACCAUUUUAAUUUUCUAACUCUUUUUUGCUUCUAGUAAAAUGAUUUGUUGCCUAACUUUUACUGAAGCUGCAUUUAAUAAGUUGUAAUGGAACUACUAAUCUUCCACGAGUGAUAACUCCAGAGCUCUACAAAUGGACGCUCUUUCCAUUUUGCCAAAGCAGAGGAAAUGAUUUAGUUGAAGCCAGUACACUUAUUGUCAGCUGGAGCCUUACUAUCUCCACCAACUAUUUGUUACAUGUUAAUUAGUACAGUAUACAGGUUGGUGGCAAGUACUAGAAAAGAGGUCAAGAAACCAAGCCAUAUAAUCAUCACGUUACUUAAUAAGUCACAAAUUAACAAUCGCUGAUGCCCAUUUACUUUGGGUAGGUAUGCGACUAAAGUUAGGUGUAAGACAUUAAGGAAUAGAAUAGGAUAUCACCAAUUGAAUUUGACAACCUCGUAACUAACGACAAAAUUGCCUACUAACAGAGCAGCUGCCUCCUACUUUUUCUCUCCGUUCCUUUUACAUUUUUUGACCACUUUUCGUUGUGCAGCAGUGAUUUCAUGAUGUGUAAUUUUGGAAAAUUGUCUUCAAAUUAUAAUAAUCUAUGAACUUAAAUGUGCAACAAACUAUUGCAAAAUGAGGCGGUAUUGAGGGCUUGCUCUGAAUCAGAAGCACCAAAAACAUCGGCGACGAGUGCUUCUGCAGUUGAAGGUAGUGCAUGAUGAUUCUUGGGACAAGAAAGACAAUGAACUGCAAGCUCCUCUUUUUGUUUCUAAGCUGACCUUUUUUUCCGAAAAAAUUUUCGGCGUGGAAAGAUGCUUAAGAGAAUCAUUACUCCAGAUCACAACUGGCACAACUUAGGAACUAUUCGUUACUUAUGAAAAGAGUCUCCAUAUAACUGGAAGCACAAGAUAAAUGUAGACGGUAAAGGUAAAGUUGUCUGAUGGAACCCACUACAAUUCCAUUAGCUCUGUUCAAUGACUUGUCCUAACUAUAAGUGGCGAUUCAAGGUGCAGCGUUGUUUGAUGAUGCAUUUUUUAAGUAGAAAAAUGCAGGAAUAAUAGUUAUUAUUUGGAUUAAGUUUCAUAAUUUAGAAUUUUUAGGUUACCCUGCUUGAGGUACUUUCCAUUUUUUGUAUUUGUGCAAUACUGUUGUCAAGUAACUAGGCUUCUGAAUUAAUCUUGAAUGUUGCUUAUAGUGGAAAAGAUGGUAAGCUUGUCACUUUUCUGUUGCAGGUUUAAUUGUUGGAGGACUUGCUAAUUUUUCUUUAUUUUUAU